AGCUCUGGGAAGGGUGGGGUGGUCAUGAAGUCCUGAGAGAGCAGAGGGACACACCAACUUCUCUUGUUGGUUCCCUCAACCCUGCCCAUACCUAUGGGUAAUCAGAGAUGGAUUCAGUCUCCAGUUAGGAUCCUCAUCAAGGUAUUUGUAUGGGGGAUUCCAUGCAGAUGGUGUAUAGAGAGAAGAUAGACACAAGGGAUCUUCAUAGCCAAGGACUGGAUUUGAACAAGUCAGUCUCCAGCUAUGUUUUAGACACUGAGGACUGUGCCCGUCAUCCCUUAGAGCUUCUCUCUGGGCCACUGGCUCGAAGGGCACAUCUCAGGGAAAAAGGACCCAGAAUUCACAACGGAACAUCAACAUAUCCAAAAGACAAGUUUCAAUGAACAGAUUCUCAGCAAAAGGACUCUAAGGAUGCAGAGGAAGGGAAGUCACCCAAUCUGGGAAGGAGGUCCUUUCAAGACAAUGCUACCUCCCAAGGCCAAAAUGAUCUAAAGGCAUUUGGAGAUAACUCAAGUAGAAGUCUCUUUUUUUAUUAAGUAUAAAAACAGGUCAUCCACACAUAGCAAUGUGCUUUUCUAGAGAAAACCAUCCUACUCACCGAGAGCCAGGAUUGAGGGGGGCUUCUGCUGUGUCUCUAGAUGAUGCCUUAAGAAACACCCACUCCCCGUGAGGGAUGUUACCAAGAAGUCAAGAACCACCAGUAACUUUGAAAAGUCCAGGUUACUCAGUCUCGGGUAUGUGUAUCAGCAAUGUGAAAACGGACUAGUACAUCUCUAGAGGCACAUGCCAUGUGGUCCAGCCAUAAUUAUUUGUUGUCACAACUAAGUUUCCUUUCUAUAUGAAAAGAUUAUAUUGAUCA
rnacentral:lncRNA from 10 species